rnacentral:rRNA from 1 species
AGAGUUUGAUCAUGGCUCAGAGCGAACGCUGGCGGCAGGCUUAACACAUGCAAGUCGAGCGGGCCCUUCGGGGUCAGCGGCGGACGGGUGAGUAACGCGUGGGAACGUGCCUUCUGGUUCGGAAUAACCCUGGGAAACUAGGGCUAAUACCGGAUACGCCCUUUUGGGGAAAGGUUUACUGCCGGAAGAUCGGCCCGCGUCUGAUUAGCUAGUUGGUGGGGUAACGGCCUACCAAGGCGACGAUCAGUAGCCUGGUCUGAGAGGGGUGGUCAGGGGGGGCCUGGAUAAC